ACAGCCGAAAAGGGAAGCUUAUUUUCUUCUAUGAAUGGAACAUCAAGCUGGCCUGGAAAGGUAAUGGGGUCCUGGCAGGAGGCAGGUUGGGGACACCCUGUGUACAGUCCGGUGUUCGGAUGUGCUUGGUGUUGCUGGGUUCUGAAAGCUGCACUUCUCCACCACUCGACGCUUGAGGGGGCAGUACUCUGGGGGGGGGGGGGCUUUUUACCAGCAUCUGUGACUAGGGCCUCCUUCCCUCAAAAAUGUUUAUUUCAAAACUUAAAAAUUAUUUACGUGUGUGUGCACACACUUGGGUGUCAUAGCACGUGUAGAAGGCAAAGACAGCUUGCAGAAUUCAGUUCUACCAUGUGGUCUCCCAGGAUUGAACUGGGGUUAGCAGGGUUGGUUCAUAGCAAGCGCUUUUACACUCUGCUUUUACACCUUGCUAGCUUACUCUUGUUAUCUUAAAAAAUUAUGGGGGCUGGGGAUUUAGCUCAGUGGUAGAGCGCUUACCUAGGAAGCGCAAGGCCCUGGGUUCGGUCCCCAGCUCCGAAAAAAAAAAAGAACCAAAAAAAAAA
rnacentral:lncRNA from 1 species